GCCGGCGGCCAUUCCACGUUGAAAGCACCGGUUCUCAUCUGAUCACCGCAGUUACGCAACGUUAUUAUUUAUUUAUUUAUUUAAACACAUAUAUAUUGGUACAAAAGGGCACCAGGUACAUAUGCGCCACACAACGCAACGUUGGGCUUGAUCAGUACUUGCAUGGGUGACCUGCUGGGAAUACCGGGUUUCGCUGGCU
rnacentral:rRNA from 1 species